GAUGAACGCUGGCGGCGUGCCUAAUACAUGCAAGUCGAGCGAACAGACGAGGAGCUUGCUCCUCUGACGUUAGCGGCGGACGGGUGAGUAACACGUGGAUAACCUACCUAUAAGACUGGGAUAACUUCGGGAAACCGGAGCUAAUACCGGAUAAUAUAUUGAAUCGCAUUGUUCAAUAGUGAAAGACGGUUUUGCUGUCACUUAUAGAUGGAUCCGCGCCGCAUUAGCUAGUUGGUAAGGUAACGGCUUACCAAGGCAACGAUGCGUAGCCGACCUGAGAGGGUGAUCGGCCACACUGGAACUGAGACACGGUCCAGACUACUACGGGAGGCAGCAGUAGGGAAUCUUCCGCAAUGGGCGAAAGCUUGACGGAGCAACGCCGCGUGAGUGAUGAAGGUCUUCGGAUCGUAAAACUCUGUUAUUAGGGAAGAACAAAUGUGUAAGUAACUAUGCACGUCUUGACGGUACCUAAUCAGAAAGCCACGGCUAACUACGUG
rnacentral:rRNA from 1 species